AUUGAACGCUGGCGGCAUGCCUUACACAUGCAAGUCGAACGGCAGCACGGAGCUUGCUCUGGUGGCGAGUGGCGAACGGGUGAGUAAUAUAUCGGAACGUACCCUAGAGUGGGGGAUAACGUAGCGAAAGUUACGCUAAUACCGCAUACGAUCUAAGGAUGAAAGUGGGGGAUCGCAAGACCUCAUGCUCGUGGAGCGGCCGAUAUCUGAUUAGCUAGUUGGUAGGGUAAAAGCCUACCAAGGCAUCGAUCAGUAGCUGGUCUGAGAGGACGACCAGCCACACUGGAACUGAGACACGGUCCAGACUCCUACGGGAGGCAGCAGUGGGGAAUUUUGGACAAUGGGCGAAAGCCUGAUCCAGCAAUGCCGCGUGAGUGAAGAAGGCCUUCGGGUUGUAAAGCUUUUUUGUCAGGGAAGAAACGGUGAGAGCUAAUAUCUCUUGCUAAUGACGGUACCUGAAGAAUAAGCACCGGCUAACUACGUGCCAGCAGCCGCGGUAAUACGUAGGGUGCAAGCGUUAAUCGGAAUUACUGGGCGUAAAGCGUGCGCAGGCGGUUUUGUAAGUCUGAUGUGAAAUCCCCGGGCUCAACCUGGGAAUUGCAUUGGAGACUGCAAGGCUAGAAUCUGGCAGAGGGGGGUAGAAUUCCACGUGUAGCAGUGAAAUGCGUAGAUAUGUGGAGGAGCACCGAUGGCGAAGGCAGCCCCCUGGGUCAAGAUUGACGCUCAUGCACGAAAGCGUGGGGAGCAAACAGGAUUAGAUACCCUGGUAGUCCACGCCCUAAACGAUGUCUACUAGUUGUCGGGUCUUAAUUGACUUGGUAACGCAGCUAACGCGUGAAGUAGACCGCCUGGGGAGUACGGUCGCAAGAUUAAAACUCAAAGGAAUUGACGGGGACCCGCACAAGCGGUGGAUGAUGUGGAUUAAUUCGAUGCAACGCGAAAAACCUUACCUACCCUUGACAUGGCUGGAAUCCUUGAGAGAUCAGGGAGUGCUCGAAAGAGAACCAGUACACAGGUGCUGCAUGGCUGUCGUCAGCUCGUGUCGUGAGAUGUUGGGUUAAGUCCCGCAACGAGCGCAACCCUUGUCAUUAGUUGCUACGAAAGGGCACUCUAAUGAGACUGCCGGUGACAAACCGGAGGAAGGUGGGGAUGACGUCAAGUCCUCAUGGCCCUUAUGGGUAGGGCUUCACACGUCAUACAAUGGUACAUACAGAGCGCCGCCAACCCGCGAGGGGGAGCUAAUCGCAGAAAGUGUAUCGUAGUCCGGAUUGUAGUCUGCAACUCGACUGCAUGAAGUUGGAAUCGCUAGUAAUCGCGGAUCAGCAUGUCGCGGUGAAUACGUUCCCGGGUCU
rnacentral:rRNA from 1 species